GGCAUCACCUAUACGAAAAAAAAAAAUUGGAAUGAUACAGAGAAGAUCAGCAUGGGCCCUGUGCAAAGAUGGCACAGAAAUUUGUGAAGUGUUCGGUACUUAC
rnacentral:snRNA from 1 species